rnacentral:rRNA from 1 species
CCUACGGGGUGCACCAGUGGGGAAUAUUGGACAAUGGGCGCAAGCCUGAUCCAGCCAUGCCGCGUGAGUGAUGAAGGCCCUAGGGUUGUAAAGCUCUUCCACCGGUGAAGAUAAUGACGGUAACCGGAGAAGAAGCCCCGGCUAACUUCGUGCCAGCAGCCGCGGUAAUACGAAGGGGGCUAGCGUUGUCCGGAUUUACUGGGCGUAAAGCGCACGUAGGCGGAUUGGUCAGUUAGGGGUGAAAUCCCAGGGCUCAACCCUGGAACUGCCUUUAAUACUGCCAGUCUUGAGUAUGGAAGAGGUGAGUGGAAUUCCGAGUGUAGAGGUGAAAUUCGUAGAUAUUCGGAGGAACACCAGUGGCGAAGGCGGCUCACUGGUCCAUUACUGACGCUGAGGUGCGAAAGCGUGGGGAGCAAACAGGAUUAGAUACCCCGGUAGUC